AUCCCAGAGAGGAUGGUAAGAGCCUUUCCAGUUUACGUGUUGUAACUGGUUCCACCGCCAAGUAGGUUGUCGAUAUAAAGUCAUGUUUGUGGUGAAAGCGUUACGGGAGAGACAUGGCUUUGUGUAGGGGGAAACAACCUACUUUUCGCGGCAGUCGGGUGAACGGCUUCAUAGCCGGAGCGUUCACCCUUUCUUUU
rnacentral:sRNA from 1 species